AUGACAUGCGUGCAAGUCGAGGGUUGUGAAAUCUAGGAUGCACAAGGAAGUUAUAAGGAAGCCUUCACAUGCCUCACCACUAACCGACCAUGAUCUUUAGUGAAGGAUUCGAGUUGGCGCACGCCUAUUGAAAAUCAAAAUAUGGUGAACUAUGUGUGAGUGGGGUGUUCAAUGCAAUACUGACAAGUAAAAUCAUUCAUCACACAUAGGUAUAGGAGCAAUCGAACCAUCGAGUAGCUAG
rnacentral:ncRNA from 1 species